rnacentral:misc_RNA from 1 species
GAAUUUUUUCGUUGCAGAAACUAGUUCAAAAGGUUAAUUUAUGAUUGGAAUGUGGAACGAGCGCCUGUGCCUGUGCACAGAUGAGUGUAACGGUUGUUAUUGCCCGUACCGCAGAACCGGCGUCAGAUACUGACUGCAUGACAUAACAGCUGCUGUGACGUCACAGCAGGAGGAGAAGAGAACUGGUGUGUUGAGAUGCCGCGGGGAACACGCCUAAAUAUAACGAACGUGUUUCCUUCGUCGAUAUCAGAUGGGCGUGCAAAACGUUAGCGUGACUCAACGUGUACAGUACGUUAUUAACGUCUCGUACAACGUUUUUUAACGUUAACUUUUGUUAAAUAUAAGCAUCGUAUCGGAUUGUAUAAGUCACAGAGGAUUGUGUUGUUGUAUACCGUGCGACAAUAAAACAAAGAGAAGGGGGAGAAAAACAUGUUUGACGUUGAGAAAUUUAUUAGUGCCGUAGAGAAGAGGCCUGCCAUCUACAAUUGUAAGUUGAAGGAAUACAGCAAUCGUGACAUUAAGAGGAAAUAUUGGGAUGAAAUCGGUAAAGAGAUGUACGAAAAAUGGGACAGAUAUUCGGCAGUUGAGAAGAACGAAUUGGGAGAUUUAUUAAAAAGAAAAUGGAAAAAUAUCAGGGAUUCAUAUGCAAGAUACUUAAGAAGCGUAGAAUCAACUACAGGACACAUUUCAAAGAAUGUAAACCGCUACAAAAGCUGGCAAUGGGCAAGGCAGAUGGAAGUUUUUAGGCCUUUUCUAUUUUCUUCAAGAAACGAUUCAAAUGCCCACGAAUCGAACACAGAACACGAGGCAAUCCAUCCUGAAUGGGAAAGUGAUGAACAACCGACACGCGAGUCUGAAUAUUUCGAAAACCAGAGCAUGGAUCCUUCGAGUAAUCAUUGUCAGGAUGUAUCAUCAUCCGCUGUACACAUAAGCGAUAAUGAAUCACGGAAUAGGAAUAAACGUAGGAGAAAGGAGGAGGUAGAAAACCACUCAUCCGUUGACAAAGUGUUGGAUUAUUUAAAAAGCAAAGGUUGCCAUAGCAGUUUGGAUGCAACCGAACUGAUAUUUUUAGGAUACGCAAAGACACUUAAGACAUUCUCUCCUAGGAGACAGAUUAUGACUAAAAUGAAAAUUGCACAGAUUAUGAUGAAACAAGAGCUAGAAGAACAAGACGAUCGGGCAUCUUUAAUGGAUAUUAAACCAUCAUCAUAUGGUUCCUGUUACAGUCAUUCUACAAAUUCUGACAUGGCAUCACCGGCAACGUCAACAACUACAAGAUCUUCGAUUGCCGAAUAUCAGGAGAGCCUUUUGGGUGAAAACCAAUCCCACUUAUCAUCCUUUCUUCACCAGAUUACUGAUGUAUGAAAACUUUACGGAUUUUUAUAAUCGUUGCAAUUAAAUAUGAAAACAAAAAAUGGAAGCUUAUGCUAACAAAAUGGAAGUCGAUACGAGACCACUUCAAGAAAGAACUUAGAGCAAACAGAGCGUCGAAGAAUGGCGAUCCUGCGACGAAGAAGAAGAA